rnacentral:rRNA from 1 species
CACGUAGGGUGCGAGCGUUGUCCGGAAUUAUUGGGCGUAAAGAGCUCGUAGGCGGUGUGUCGCGUCGGCCGUGAAAACCUGCAGCUUAACUGUGGGCUUGCGGUCGAUACGGGCAUCACUGGAGUUCGGCAGGGGAGACUGGAAUUCCUGGUGUAGCGGUGAAAUGCGCAGAUAUCAGGAGGAACACCGGUGGCGAAGGCGACUCUUUUGGCCCUGUAAACUGACGCUGGAGGCGCGAAAGCCGUGGGGAGCAAACAGG